ensembl:snRNA U1 U1 spliceosomal RNA
UCACAAAACCAGGAGAAACACCAUGAUCAGGAAGGUGGUUUCUCAGGGUGAAGGUCAUCCAUUGAGUCUUGAUUGUGCUCACCCUGUGAUUUCCCAAAAUUCAUGAAAAUCAACCACAUAAUUUGUGACAGUAGGGGACUGCAUUCAGGCUCUUCCCUU